AUUAACGCUAGCGGCAGGCAUAAUACAUGCAAGUUGAACGGCAGCACAGGUAGCAAUACCGGGUGGCGAGUGGCGCACGGGUGCGUAACACGUAUGCAACCUACCCUAUACAGGCGAAUAACCUUUAGAAAUGAGGGCUAAUACGCCGUGGUAUUAUCUUGGGGCAUCUUGAGAUAAUUAAAGAUUUAUCGGUAUAGGAUGGGCAUGCGUCCCAUUAGUUAGUUGGUAGAGUAACGGCCUACCAAGGCUAUGAUGGGUAGGGG
rnacentral:rRNA from 1 species